AUCAAUGGCAAUUCCUGACAAUUGUCUGGAGCCAAAUAAAUAUUGCAGCUGGAGAAAAAUUAGGAUUAUAAAGCUUAUGAUUAUUAUCAGAUUUAGAAUAAAGCUGCUUUAAAAUAAACUGAUAAUAAAGCUUAAUAUAAUAAUAACAGUAAAUUUUUUAAAAAAAUAAAGCUUAUAAUAAUAAACUUUAAAUUUAAAAAAAGAUUAAAGUUUAUUAUUAUAAGCUUUAUUUUUUUUAAAAAAUUUAAUUCUUCAAAAAAAUUUUUUUAAUCCUAAUUUUCCUCCCACACAUUUUUAUAAUUGCCCAUUUUCUUUUUGCCUUAAACCAUUCCCGCGAACAGCGAACAACAAAUAGCCCCGCCCACUUUGCCUUAGAGAAUUUUUUCUUAAAUAUUGAGAAAUUGAAAACACAGUGAUUACGACCAUACCGCGUUGAAAGCACGCCAUCCCGUCCGAUCUGGCAAGUUAAGCAACGCUGGGCUUCCUUAGUACUUGGAACGGAGACGUCCUGGGAAUCGGGGGUGUCGUAAUCUUUUUUUAAUGCUUUGGCAAAAACUUGAGUCUAAGAAAACACACUUGAGUCUAUAGAAAACAAUUAUUUAACUUUUUUAUAAAUUGUAGUUUAUAUAUACAUACCUUUACUUGAGUAUAUAUUUUACUUGAGUCGAUUAUUUGAUUGCCUUGGGUAAAUUUGAUUGACUGGGGGGGGGGGAUUUUUAAUCGGAUCGUCACAGACUCAUAAACCAAAAAUGCCUGGUGAAAUUUGAUUGCCUGGGGGAACCCUAUUGCCUGAACCCUACGACACUUGGUCAAUUGCACUUUGGUCUACUUUGCCUGAGGCAAUUUUUAAUCGGAUCGUCACAGACUCAUAAACCAAAAACCCUAUUGCCUGAACCCUACGACACUUGGUCAAUUGCACUUUGGUCUACUUUGCCUGAGGCAAUUUUUAAUCGGAUCGUCACAGACUCAUAAACCAAAAAUGCCUGGCUUAAUUACCCGCAGACUGGGUAAUUCCAGCUCUGCUAACUACCUAAAUAAAAGAUAUCUGGUUGAUCCUGCCUGAACUGAUGUGUUCAUUUCAAAGAUUAAGCCAUGCAUGUAUAAGUUUAAUCGUUUUAACGAGAAACCGCGAAAGGCUCAUUACAAUGGCCAUGAUUUACUUGAUCUUGAUUAUCUAAAUGGAUAACUGUGGAAAAGCUAGAGCUAAUACAUGCACCAAAGCUUUGUCCUCACGGAAAAGCGCAUUUAUUAGAACAAAACCACGCGGCUUCGGCUGCUUCUUGUUGACUCAGAAUAACUAAGCUGACCGCAUGGCCUUGUGCCGGCGGCGUGUCUUUCAAGCGUCCACUUUAUCAACUUGACGGGAGCAUAAUCGACUCCCGUGGUGGUGACGGAUAACGGAGGAUCAGGGUUCGACUCCGGAGAAGGGGCCUGAGAAAUGGCCACUACGUCUAAGGAUGGCAGCAGGCGCGCAAAUUACCCACUCUCGGCUCGAGGAGGUAGUGACGAAAAAUAACGAGACUGUUCUCUUUGAGGCCGGUCAUCGGAAUGGGUACAAUUUAAACCCUUUAACGAGUAUCAAGCAGAGGGCAAGUCUGGUGCCACUAGCCGCGGUAAUUCCAGCUCUGCUAAUACAUAGAAUUAUUGCUGCGGUUAAAAAGCUCGUAGUUGGAUUCGUAUCGGUACCUUGGAACCCUUCGGGUGUUUCUGGGUGUUAUCGAUUUAUCGUAAUGUUCGGUUUUGAGUCCUUAACAGGAUUCUUAACAGUCAUUGCAAGUUUACUUUGAACAAAUCAGAGUGCUUCAAACAGGCGUUUUCGCUUGAAUGAUCGUGCAUGGAAUAAUAGAAAACGAUUUCGGUUCAGUUUUAUUGGUUUUACGGACUGAGAUAAUGGUUAACAGAGACAAACGGGGGCAUUUGUAUGGCCCCGUGAGAGGUGAAAUUCUUGGACCGUGGCCAGACAAACUACAGCGAAAGCAUUUGCCAAGAAUGUCUUCAUUAAUCAAGAACGAAAGUCAGAGGUUCGAAGGCGAUCAGAUACCGCCCUAGUUCUGACCGUAAACGAUGCCAACUAGCGAUCCGCUGAUGGAAAUUAUAUUGCCUUGGUGGGGAGCUUCCCGGAAACGAAAGUCUUCCGGUUCCGGGGGAAGUAUGGUUGCAAAGCUGAAACUUAAAGGAAUUGACGGAAGGGCACCACCAGGAGUGGAGCCUGCGGCUUAAUUUGACUCAACACGGGGAAACUCACCCGGCCCGGACACUGUGAGGAUUGACAGAUUGAUAGCUUUUUCAUGAUUCAGUGGAUGGUGGUGCAUGGCCGUUCUUAGUUCGUGGAGUGAUUUGUCUGGUUUAUUCCGAUAACGAGCGAGACUCUAACCUACUAAAUAGCUGAUACAUACUCUUUGUGUAUACAGCUUCUUAGAGGGAUUUGCGGCGUUCAGCCGAAAGAAAUUGAGCAAUAACAGGUCUGUGAUGCCCUUAGAUGUCCGGGGCUGCACGCGCGCUACACUGGCAAAAUCAACGAACUUGUCCUACCCUGAAAGGGGCGGGUAAACCAUUGAAAAUUUGCCGUGAUUGGGAUCGGAAAUUGCAAUUAUUUUCCGUGAACGAGGAAUUCCAAGUAAGUGCGAGUCAUCAGCUCGCGUUGAUUACGUCCCUGCCCUUUGUACACACCGCCCGUCGCUGCCCGGGACUGAGCCAUUUCGAGAAAUUUGGGGACCGUUGAUUUAAUUUAUCUAAAUUAUUUUGAUGGAAACCAAUUUAAUCGCAGUGGCUUGAACCGGGCAAAAGUCGUAACAAGGUAGCUGUAGGUGAACCUGCUGCUGGAUCAUUACUUUAUGUGAUGUUCAAUUUUGAAUCGCAAUGAAAUAAUUGUUGUGUAACGGCUGUCGCUGGUGUCUAGGUGUUGCUGAUACAGUUGUGAACGUCCGUGGCUGUAUAUGUGGUGACAUGUUAGGACUAUAAUGAGUUUAAGACUUAAUGAGCCUCUUAAGUGAGGACGCCAGCACUCUUUUUUUCUCUAUAUUUUAAAAAAAAACAAAAUUCCUAGCCUUUCCGGUGGAUCACUAGGCUCGUGGAUCGAUGAAGAACGCAGCAAACUGCGAUAAGUUUUGCGAACUGCAGCAGCCUUGAGCAUAAAAGUUUUGAACGCAUAUUGCCGCAUAGGGGUCAAACCCUUUGCUAUGUCUGGUUCAGGGUCAUUUUCUUUCAAAGCGAAGUCGAUCCUAAGGCACCGGCUAAAGCCGUCUAGACACUGCGGGGAGAUGAGAUACUUAACGGUAUAUUGUCUACUCGGUUGCCGAAAGGGAAGUGGGUUAAUAUUCCCACACCAGGCAUGGGAGAUGGUGAUCCGCAAGGAUUACUUUGCGCGGUGACGCAAACGAACUCGUAGACCUCGUGUGGAGUCCGGGCCAGAGUUCUCUUUUCUGGUUUAGAGAUCAUGUCCCUGAAAGUGGCUCAGCCUGAGAUAGGGAUGCUGGUCUCGUAAAGCGCAGCGGUUCCUGUUGUGUCCCGUGUGCUCCACAUGAGCCGUGAAAAUACGAGGGAGGCAAUUUAAAAUCUCCUGCCUGAUCGUACCCAUAUCCGCAGCAGGUCUCCAAGGUGAACAGCCUCUAGUCGAUAGAAUAAUGUAGGUAAGGGAAGUCGGCAAAUUAGAUUCGUAACUUCGGGAAAAGAAUUGGCUCUAAAGGUUGGGUCAGUCGGGCUGUUGUGUGAAACAGGUGGACUUUGCUCGUGGCUGCUUGAUCUUCCCUUCGGGGCGGCGCUUGUGGACUAGUAGUGAGGACUGCUUGUGGAGCGCUUCAGCUGCGUACUAUUUCGAAAGAUAUAGUACUUCGAUUGGCGCUGAACAACCAGUUUAGAACUGGCACGAACUCCGGGAAUCCGACUGUCUAAUUAAAACAGAGGAGACGGAUGGUCUUUGCAGGACGUUGACCGUGUCUGAUUUCUGCCCAGUGCUCUGAAUGUUAAGCCAAGGAAACUUGAUUAAGCGCGGGUAAACGGCGGGAGUAACUAUGACUCUCUUAAGGUAGCCAAAUGCCUCGUCGGCUAACUACCGACGCGCACGAAUGGAUCAACGAGAUUCCCACUGUCCCUAUCUACUAUCUAGCGAAACCACAGCCAAGGGAACGGGCUUGGCAAAUUUAGCGGGGAAAGAAGACCCUGUUGAGCUUGACUCUAGUCUGACUUUGUGAAGAAUCAUGAGAGGUGUAGCAUAAGUGGGAGUCGUAAGACAACAGUGAAAUACCACUACUUUCAUCGAUUCCUUACUUAAUCGGUAAAACGGGAGUUGUGUCUACGGACCUUCAUUUUUGUUUUAAGACUAGCCACUCGGUGGUUGGUUGACUCGCGCCGAUGACAUUGUCAGGCGGGGAGUUUGACUGGGGCGGUACAUCUGUCAAAUUGUAACGCAGGUGUCCUAAGGCGAGCUCAGAGAGGACGGAAACCUCUCGUUGAGCAAAAAGGCAAAUGCUUACUUGAUCUUGAUUUUCAGUACGAAUACAGACCGCGAAAGCGUGGCUUAUCGAUCCUUUUGAGUUUGUAAAGUUUACAGCAAGAGGUGUCAGAAAAGUUACCACAGGGAUAACUGGCUUGUGGCGGCCAAGCGUCCAUAGCGACGUCGCUUUUUGAUCCUUCGAUGUCGGCUCUUCCUAUCAUUGCGAAGCAGAAUUCGCCAAGCGUUGGAUUGUUCACCCACCAAUAGGGAACGUGAGCUGGGUUUAGACCGUCGUGAGACAGGUUAGUUUUACCCUACUAAAUACUUGUUGCUAUGAUGGUAAUCCUGCUUAGUACGAGAGGAACCGCAGGUUCAGACAUUUGGUUCAUGUGCUUGGUCGAUAGGCCAAUGGCGCGAAGCUACCAUCUGAGGGAUUAUGACUGAACGCCUCUAAGUCAGAAUCCCGCCCAGUCAUGAUAGCAAUAUAUAUCGCUCUCCGGUGUCGGAAGGCAAAAUGUAUGCCACUUUUUGUGGUAGUACAAGCCCCAGUAUCUGGCAUUUUCUUUCUACUAUAAUUGGUAGUUGGUUGCUAAAAGCUUAGCACUCCACGUGCAGGUGUAACGUCGGGGCGCAAAAUCACUUGUAUACGACUUGAAUACUGGUCAGGGGGUUGUAAACAGUAGAGCAGCUCUUCGCUGCGAUCUGCUGAGACUUAGCCCUUGAUCGGAUGAUUU